CAUAAGUAUCCCUAAUUCAAGUGGAUUCAUCAUUCGUUAUACUAAGAUGUGAUCUGGUGAACAGGCAAAAAGGCUUCUCACUAAUGCUCACCGGACUCCGUCUCCUCACUCAUAAAACAAAGAGGUUGAAGCCAACGAUCUGUAGGUUUCUUUGUGUCUCCAACAUUUUGUGCAUUGGUGUUUGGGAGAGACAGAAAGGACACAAUUUCUGCCAUCAAGGAAAUAUUUGAGUCGAGAGAGAUAACAAAGCAAAGCAAUUUUAUGUGAUAUUCUUCAAGAUCUUCAGAGAUAAAUAAUAUUCAGUGUUGACUGUUCGAAAUGGCUACAGCAAAUAAAAGGCCAAGAAUGGAAUGGAAUAAGGUAGACCCCAGAGAAUUUCACCCUGGAGAAUAACCAACAGUGGAGCAGCGUCGUGCCGUUCCCAUGAGACCUAGCUGGAACCUGGGGAGCUGGCGUUGCAAAGGGCUGCUUAGAGACCUGGGAAGAAAAGGGCACUUGGCAAAGGGAAGAAGCUGUUUAGGUUUAGGAAAGAGUCCACUGAUGUCUGCUUGAUGAGUCUGGCCUCGUCUCCACAUAAGGUCUUUAAAUGGUUUCUGAGAACUGCUUUGGCCUCGAGUCAGAACCAUUUCCUUGGAACACAGAUACUCUGCGGCACCACCUGUGAUCCACUGCCACCAAAUCCACUGUGAGCAAAGGGCAAAUACAUCUCCCAAUAAACAUGUCUAUGGCAAGGGCUGAACGGAAAAGCCAGAUCAUGGAAGAGGAGCACAACACAUCCAAAUGUGGAAAAGACGAACAAUAAAACUAGACUCACAGCUUGUCUCUGAUAACAAAUUAA